UACAUGUGGGGCAAGCGUUGUUCGGAAUCACUGGGCGUAAAGGGUGCGUAGGCGGGUCUUUAAGUCAGGGGUGAAAUCCUGGAGCUCAAUUCCAGAACUGCCUUUGAUACUGAAGAUCUUGAGUUCGGGAGAGGUGAGUGGAACUGCGAGUGUAGAGGUGAAAUUCGUAGAUAUUCGCAAGAACACCAGUGGCGAAGGCGGCUCACUGGCCCGAUACUGACGCUGAGGCACGAAAGCGUGGGGAGCAAACAGG
rnacentral:rRNA from 1 species